GGGCUGGUGCUGAAAUUGGCAGACAGGCACGGCUUAGGACCGUGUGUCGUAAGACAUGGAGGUUCGAGUCCUCUCCAGCCCA
rnacentral:tRNA from 1 species